GUGGUAUCCUGUCUGAAUAUGGGGGGACCAUCCUCCAAGGCUAAAUACUCCUGACUGACCGAUAGUGAACCAGUACCGUGAGGGAAAGGCGAAAAGAACCCCGGCGAGGGGAGUGAAAAAGAACCUGAAACCGUGUACGUACAAGCAGUGGGAGCACAGGUUUACCUGUGUGACUGCGUACCUUUUGUAUAAUGGGUCAGCGACUUAUAUUCUGUAGCAAGGUUAACCGUAUAGGGGAGCCGAAGGGAAACCGAGUCUUAACCGGGCGUUAAGUUGCAGGGUAUAGACCCGAAACCCGGUGAUCUAGCCAUGGGCAGGUUGAAGGUUGGGUAACACUAACUGGAGGACCGAACCGACUAAUGUUGAAAAAUUAGCGGAUGACCUGUGGCUGGGGGUGAAAGGCCAAUCAAACCGGGAGAUAGCUGGUUCUCCCCGAAAGCUAUUUAGGUAGCGCCUCGUGAAUUCAUCUCCGGGGGUAGAGCACUGUUUCGGCUAGGGGGCCAUCCCGGCUUACCAACCCGAUGCAAACUGCGAAUACCGGAGAAUGUUAUCACGGGAGACACACGGCGGGUGCUAACGUCCGUCGUGAAGAGGGAAACAACCCAGACCGCCAGCUAAGGUCCCAAAGUCAUGGUUAAGUGGGAAACGAUGUGGGAAGGCCCAGACAGCCAGGAUGUUGGCUUAGAAGCAGCCAUCAUUUAAAGAAAGCGUAAUAGCUCACUGGUCGAGUCGGCCUGCGCGGAAGAUGUAACGGGGCUAAACCAU
rnacentral:rRNA from 1 species